rnacentral:rRNA from 1 species
UACGAAGGGGACUAGCGUUGUUCGGAAUUACUGGGCGUAAAGCGCACGUAGGCGGAUAUGUCAGUCAGGGGUGAAAUCCCGGGGCUCAACCUCGGAACUGCCUUUGAUACAGCAUAUCUCGAGUCCGGAAGAGAUGAGCGGAAUUCCUAGUGUAGAGGUGAAAUUCGUAGAUAUUAGGAAGAACACCGGUGGCGAAGGCGGCUCACUGGUCCGGUACUGACGCUGAGGUGCGAAAGCGUGGGGAGCAAACAGG